UGGGGAAUAUUGCACAAUGGGGGAAACCCUGAUGCAGCGACGCAGCGUGCGGGAUGACGGCCUUCGGGUUGUAAACCGCUUUCAGCAGGGAAGAAGCCUCACGGUGACGGUACCUGCAGAAGAAGUACCGGCUAACUACGUGCCAGCAGCCGCGGUCAUACGUAGGGUACGAGCGUUGUCCGGAAUUAUUGGGCGUAAAGAGCUCGUAGGUGGUUGGUCACGUCUGCUGUGGAAACGCAACGCUUAACGUUGCGCGUGCAGUGGGUACGGGCUGACUAGAGUGCAGUAGGGGAGUCUGGAAUUCCUGGUGUAGCGGUGAAAUGCGCAGAUAUCAGGAGGAACACCGGUGGCGAAGGCGGGACUCUGGGCUGUAACUGACACUGAGGAGCGAAAGCAUGGGGAGCGAACA
rnacentral:rRNA from 1 species